GGAAAAGGGAAGUGUGGGGACUCCCAGUGGACAGCAGCAAGAGAGAGAUCAAAGAGGGCUUCAAAGUUGGAUGAAGAGGGGAUGGAGGUGGCAGUAUGUUGCCAUGGCUUUCUUUUGAAAGCCCUUAAUAUGUACAGGGGGGAGAUAUUUGCAUACCCCCUCUUCCUUCAGAAAGAACUGAUGCCAGCCAAGCCUCAGUUCUUUGCAAUGGAUGUGGCUUGCAAAUACUGGCCCUACCUUGUAAAAGCUGCCACUGUCCUUCCGGCCCUCCAGGAGCUGACAACCAUGAAGCCAUUCCUUAGUGUGAUGCAUGCAAGAGCUCAUGCAACAAAGUGUGAGAUCAAAUGGAGCGGUAGGAACCAGGGAGGAGCAGAGACAACUGCUGGUGAGGAGGUGGAGCAAGUGAAUAGCUACCUGUCUCGUUGUGCCCUGACGACAAAGUACAUGUCGAAAGCAGCACGAGUGGACAUGCUUACAUUGCAUGCUCUGGGGUGGAACCACAAAAAAAGGACCUUUUACAUCAGGCCCUUUCUACAAGAUAUGUAAAGACCUGUCAAAGACUGCUAGAUGAGACUGUAAGGCUAGCUGAGCUGAAAGCAGAGCUACAGUGCACUGACGAAAUGGCAUCACAGUGGAUGUCUGAGGUGACUGAAUGGGCAGCUGACAAGACACCUCAUACCACUGAAGGCACCACACGGGAAGAACGUCAACAGUCCAUUGUGGGACUCUUCCUGAGUGUCAGGCAGCGGAAGCAAAGUCUUUAUCGUCAAAAUGACAGCAGCAAGCUUCGCCACCGCCUUCGCAGGAAGCUGGGAGAGGACAAGAAGGUGCUUCUUCAGGAGAUGCAGACAUACAAUGCCUCUGCUCUAUCAGAGACUGAAAAAAUUGAUGUGGCUGUUGUGGAGCAUGCAUUGACUGGAGAGUGCACUGUGUCCCCUUUGUGGCCAUGGGAGGAUCAUGGCAUGGCAAACAUCACAAUCAAGAAGAGGGUGUAUGACCAAGUGAUGCUCACCAUGAGACUGCAAGAGGAGAAAAGCAUUUUGGUGUUGGAGAUGGUACAACAUUGCACAUGGUUGCAGAAGAAGGCAGAUGAACUUCGAAACAAGGUGGCUGAGAAUGGCAAGACCGACGAAGGACUUUGCUGUCUCUUUAAAAGACAACUUUCAGAGGUGUCAGAGCAGUUGCAAGUAGUCAUGCACCAGUACAAGACUGCUUUAGGCCCUGAGGCCUCUGCCCUUCAAAUGGAGGAGGAGGAGGAGGAUCAAAGGGCCCUCAGCAGUCCAGACAGCAGUGAAGAUGAAGACAUCGCCGAUUAGAUGACAGACUGCGGUGAAGGGCAUGGACUUGGCAUGUUUUGUUUGAUGUAGGACAGUAGUAGCUCAGGGGGUAGAGUUUUUUUUCAGCAUACAGAAAGUUGGCAAUUCAAUCCCGCCCUAUCAUAGUUCUGUCCACUAUGUCCCACAACACUGAACCCACAUUGUUCCCAGUGAGUCUUCCAUAGUUAUGAUGAUGAAUGAUCAAGUUUACUCAUGGAUGCCUUUGAGUUCCACUUGGGAGUGAAGAAUGGUGUCCAAGCUCCUGCUGUGCUCCAGGUCCCCUAGCCAGGGGAUUAACUUACCUCUAUAGUCUCUACAGUGUUCAGAAAUGAACUCAUCAAUGGAGGGCUUGCAUUGUUUGUGUUUACUUUGAGACUUGUUGGAUAUCAAGUGUCUUAAAAUGUGCACUGUUUAGGAAUGGGGCCUUAACCUAUGGCUUGUACAAUAAAUAUGCAUCAGCAAUAAAUUUGCCUCAAUAGUCUUAAUACUUAUCAGCCUAUUGAUAAACAUAUCACCUUGCUGAAAUGAUGUUCUUGUGUUUUAUUCCUGUCUACACAUAUUUACAACUGGGAAAUAUAUACAAAAAAACUUUUGCAUUAACUAGAUAUCCCCAUUGAUUAAUAGGCUACAUUUUAUUUAAAAGAAAGUUUAGAUUUCCCUCUAGGUGGACCAGAUGUAAUAGUUGUUUGAAAAACAUGAAAAAAUCCUGAUGCCACUGCACGCAUCUCUUUAGUGAAGCGCGACGAUCACAAGUCAUGCCUGAGACUAUUUUUGAUGUCCUUUCUUUCUUUGAAUUUGGAAACUUUUUUAUAAGUGCUAUCAAAACAUUGUACAAAGAUAACAAUAGCUCAGUGAAACUUCUACAUGGCACUUCUCCAAGAUUUAACGUAAGUAAAGGCGUGAGGCAAGGCUGCACAGCCUCUCCUUACAUUUUUUUACUAGGUGCUCAGUGCUAAAUUCUUUAAUUUCUCAAAUCCCAAUUAAAGGAAUCAAUGUUCUUGGCAAAGAACUUAAAGUAACACAGCUAGCAGAUGAUACGACAAUAUUUCUGAAAAAUGCCGAUGAAGUUCCCAUGACACUAUCCACUUUAACAACAAUUUCUAAAGCAUCAGGCUUACAUUUAAAUUUUAAAAAGUGUGAAAUUCUAUCCAUAAGAAAGAUCAAUCGCGCUGAAAUUUGUAGCAUUCCAGUCAAAGACUAGUUACUUAUCUUAUUAAUAUCAGUAAUAAUUCUAACGACAGAGAACGGAAUGACUAUGCUCCACUUUAAGAUGCUAUAACAAAGAAAUUUAACUGUUGGCUGGUAAGAGAUUUAUCGAUAUAUGGAAGAGUCUUGUCAAGUAAGGCAGAAAGUGAAGAAAAUAGUUCUUACCAAUCCUGUGGCUGAAGGAGGACUAAAUGUGCUUACAUUUGUUGUUUUCAAUCAAACAAUUAACAUAAAUUGGAUCAAAAGAUACUUAAAAAUGUCGAUAGUUUUUGGGACACUAUCCCUAAUUAUCUUUUUGAGAAAAUAGGUGGCCUUAUUUUCUCUUUCUAAUAGGAAAACUACCAAUCAAACUUGCAAACUUUCAUUAUCAAGUUUUAUUGUGCUGGCAGCUUCUCUACAAACACAAUUACUCUCCUCACCACUGUAUCUUAUGGAACAACUCUUAUAUUACACACAGAAAUAAGACUGUGUACUUGAACAAUUUGUUUAUGAACAAUGUAAACACUGUAAAGCAACUCUUGAAUGAUAAUGGUGAGUUUUAUAACUAUGAGGCAUUCGUAGACACUUAUCAUUUGGAGGUUUCCAGGCAAGAGUUUCAUACUGUGAUUACAAAAUAAAAAUCCUUGCUUGUAACAUUCAGAGUAUCACGCUCUCUGUUUUGGAGAGCCCUAUUUCCAUAAAUGGCAUGGAUUUGUUAAAUUAAAAACUGCUCAAAUAAUUUUAUUAGAAGUGGUCUAGAGCAUAUCACAGCUCCAGCUUGUAAGUAUCGAUCAGUUUGUCUGAAUAGAAAACAGUGGAACACAAUCUUUUUAAUGCCUCACAGAUAUAUACUCACAAAUACAAUAAAAGAGUUUCUUUAUAAGAUUACCCACAGAUACUAUCCUGUUAAAGCAAAUGUAUGUCGUUUUAUGUCAAACAUAAGUAACCGGUGCACUUUUUGUAAUUGUGAAGGAGAAACUGUUGAGCAUAUAUUUGUUGACUGUUUUCACACCACUUCCUUUUGGUUCCAUUUAGAAAGAUAUCUCGCAAGAAUAUGUAAAGAAGAAACUAUACUCAAGAGAACAGAUAUUUUAUUGUACUAUAACAACCCUAAUUUCUCUGGUGAUGAAAUAUAUUUAUCAUUAACCGGAUUUGUAUACUAGCAAAAUUUUUUAUGCAUAAAAUGAUUUGGAUUAAGAAAUGACCCUCCUUUUAUGUAUUUGAAACUACAGAUUUCCAAAGUUACUUAAAAACUAUAGCAAAAUUAAAACAAAUGAAUAAAAAAUUGAUAAAAACAUUUAGAAUUUUAGAUAAAUACAACUUUAUUACCCCUUCUUGACAGACUAUAUAUUUUUAUUUAUUUUUUCUUGUUAUGUGUUUCAUUAUGACUGUACGAUUAUUGCAAUUGCAAUGCAUGUGUCUUAAGUUUACAUUUGUAUGUUGUUUCUGCUUAAAAGAAAAUAAAGGAUGUUAAUUCUUUAAAAAAA